rnacentral:rRNA from 1 species
UAAAGAGUUCUAUAACUCCCAAACCCAUGUGAACAUACCUAACGUUGCCUCGGCAGGUCGCACCUACCUUGUAGCACCCUACCCUGUAGGGCCUACCCGGGAGGUGCGGGUAAGCCUGCCGGCGGCCCACCAAACUCUGUUUGAUAUUGAAUUCUGAACCUAUAACUAAAUAAGUUAAAACUUUCAACAACGGAUCUCUUGGUUCUGGCAUCGAUGAAGAACGCAGCGAAAUGCGAUAAGUAAUGUGAAUUGCAGAAUUCAGUGAAUCAUCGAAUCUUUGAACGCAUAUUGCGCCCAUUAGUAUUCUAGUGGGCAGGACCGUUCGAGCGUCAUUUCAACCCUUAAGCCUUCGUUGCUUAGUGUUGGGAGCCUACGGCAACGUAGCUCCUCAAAGUUAGUGGCGGAGUUGGUUCACACUCUAGACGUAGUAAUUUUUUAUCUCGCCUAUUAGUUGGACUAAUCCCCUGCCGUAAAACCCCUAAUUUAUCAAGGUUGACCUCGAAUCGGUUCAGACAAACUCGCUAAAUUGAAGCAUCUUAGUCAGCGAAGGAAAAGAAACCAACAGGGAUUGCCCUAGUAACGGCGAGUGAAGCGGCAACAGCUCAAAUUUGAAAUCUGGCCCUCG